rnacentral:rRNA from 1 species
CAGCAGCCGCGGUAAUACGAAGGGGGCUAGCGUUGUUCGGAAUUACUGGGCGUAAAGCGCACGUAGGCGGAUAUUUAAGUCAGGGGUGAAAUCCCGCAGCUCAACUGCGGAACUGCCUUUGAUACUGGGUAUCUUGAGUAUGGAAGAGGUUAGUGGAAUUGCGAGUGUAGAGGUGAAAUUCGUAGAUAUUCGCAGGAACACCAGUGGCGAAGGCGGCUAACUGGUCCAUAACUGACGCUGAGGUGCGAAAGCGUGGGGAGCAAACAGGAUUAGAUACCCGGGUAGUCCCUGUCUCUUAUAC